rnacentral:rRNA from 1 species
GACUCAACACGGGGAAACUCACCAGGUCCAGACACAAUAAGGAUUGACAGAUUGAGAGCUCUUUCUUGAUUUUGUGGGUGGUGGUGCAUGGCCGUUCUUAGUUGGUGGAGUGAUUUGUCUGCUUAAUUGCGAUAACGAACGAGACCUUAACCUGCUAAAUAGCCCGGCUAGCUUUGGCUGGUCGCUGGCUUCUUAGAGGGACUAUCGGCUCAAGCCGAUGGAAGUUUGAGGCAAUAACAGGUCUGUGAUGCCCUUAGAUGUUCUGGGCCGCACGCGCGCUACACUGACAGAGCCAACGAGUUCUUCACCUUGGCCGGAAGGUCUGGGUAAUCUUGUGAAACCCCGUCGUGCUGGGGAUAGAGCAUUGUAAUUAUUGCUCUUCAACGAGGAAUUCCUAGUAAGCGCAAGUCAUCAGCUUGCGUUGAUUACGUCCCUGCCCUUUGUACACACCGCCCGUCGCUACUACCGAUUGAAUGGUUAUAGUGAGCAUAUGGGAUCAGUAGGAUUUGACUGGCAACAGUCAUUUCCUGCAGAGAACUAUGGCAAACUAGGCUAUUUAGAGGAAGUAAAAGUCGUAACAAGGUUU